rnacentral:lncRNA from 1 species
GUCUUAGUUCGGCUCUAUUGCCGCGAGCUUGACUCUUCCUGGGUCUGAGGAAAAGUAAAAGUAAUUUUGUCAUUUCCUGAAACUUCAAGUUAAACCUUUAAGCUGUUCAUUUCCUAAAAGGGUGAAAACGCGGGCACCCCUCGAGCUAGUUCAUCGCCUUUUAACCUGUUGUUGGAUCUUUCCAGAUCACCACACCACAUCACCCAGCCACUCUGCCCAAUGGGAGGGCAGACAGUGUUCCAGUGUAGGAGGAAGGGGUGUAAGGUGCGGGCAGUUUGUGAGGAGGGCACCAACGAGAGCUACUGUGAGAAAGUCUGCAUGGUCAAAAAGUGGAUUACCAAGAACAAAGCAUCAUAAUGUUGUCCAGUGGACCCCAGAACCCAAGAAGACCUUCUACUGAUGAUCACAUUCAAAUUUUAAAUGUCUAGUGACUAAGAGACUAAUCACAUGGGGCUGCUUAGAUUUAUCGAGGAGGACAGGAGUGCCAAAACUCUAAGUUGUUUUUUGUAGGGUGUAAGAACAAAGGCAUCUCAUGUGUCUCGAGAAAUGAGUGAAAGUCAUGACCCAGUUCUUCCUCCUACUUUAACAAAAUGUGACUGAAGAGGAAGCCAGAUGUGUUCUAGGACAGACCAGCUGACUAACUCUUACUGUCAACAUACACUGUGCAAUUCCAAGACACAAGGGCAACUGAUAAAGAAGAUUAGCUUGGUUUUCCAGAAAUAAGUUCUGCUCUGUUCAAUCUCCUUGCUCAAUCUCCAUUCUCUCA